UACGGGGGGGGCAAGCGUUGUUCGGAAUUACUGGGCGUAAAGGGCUCGUAGGCGGCCAACUAAGUCCGACGUGAAAUCCCAAGGCUUAACCUUGGAACUGCGUCGGAUACUGGAUGGCUUGAAUUCGGGAGAGGGAUGCAGAAUUCCAGGUGUAGCGGUGAAAUGCGUAGAGAUGUGGAGGAACACCAAUGGCGAAGGCAGCCUUCUGGGCCAACACUGACGCUCAUGCACGAAAGCGUGGGGAGCAAACAGG
rnacentral:rRNA from 1 species